UACGUAGGGUGCAAGCGUUAAUCGGAAUUACUGGGCGUAAAGCGUGCGCAGGCGGUUUUGUAAGUCUGUCGUGAAAUCCCCGGGCUCAACCUGGGAAUUGCGAUGGAGACUGCAAGGCUAGAAUCUGGCAGAGGGGGGUAGAAUUCCACGUGUAGCAGUGAGAUGCGUAGAGAUGUGGAGGAACACCGAUGGCGAAGGCAGCCCCCUGGGUCAAGAUUGACGCUCAUGCACGAAAGCGUGGGGAGCAAACAGG
rnacentral:rRNA from 1 species